rnacentral:rRNA from 1 species
GCCUAAAGCGUCCGUAGCCGGCUCUGUAAGUUUUCGGUUAAAUCCAUAUGCUCAACAUAUGGGCCGCCGGGAAUACUGCAUAGCUAGGGAGUGGGAGAGGUAGACGGUACUCCGUAGGAAGGGGUAAAAUCCUUUGAUCUAUGGAUGACCACCUGUGGCGAAGGCGGUCUACCAGAACACGUUCGACGGUGAGGGAUGAAAGCUGGGGGAGCAAACCGGAUUAGAUACCCGGGUAGUCCCAGCUGUAAACUAUGCAAACUCAGUGAUGCAUUGGCUUGUGGCCAGUGCAGUGCCGCAGAGAAGUCGUUAAGUUUGCCGCCUGGGAAGUACGUACGCAAGUAUGAAACUUAAAGGAAUUGGCGGGGGAGCACCACAAGGGGUGAAGCCUGCGGUUUAAUUGGAGUCAACGCCAGAAAUCUUACCCGGAGAGACAGCAGGAUGAAGGUCAAGCUGAAGACUUUACCAGACAAGCUGAGAAGUGGUGCAUGGCCGUCGCCAGCUCGUGCCGUGAGGUGUCCUGUUAAGUCAGGUAACGAGCGAGAUCCUUGCCUCUAGUUGCCACCAUUACUCUCAGGAGUAGUGGGGCGAAUUAGCGGGACUGCCGUAGUUAAUACGGAGGAAGGAGAGGGCCACGGCAGGUCAGUAUGCCCCGA